CCUCUCAGCGUCGCCCUCGCGAGCAAAACAAAGCAACAGUGUUUUGAAAUUUCUCUGACACAUUAUUUACAUUCGACGUUUGAUAUUCGCAAAAUUUUCUGAACUUGUAAAGUUUGCUUUUAUUUAGUCACGUUUCCAAUUUCCAAUAAUGUUUUGCCUAAUUUAAUAAUUUAUAUCCAAAUACCUAUCUAUAGUUUAUAGUGAAAUUAAAAAAAUCUCAUCAAAGGCACCCAAAAACCAUCUGCCUCUCAGUGACGGUCAAUGCCGUCCAGCCGCAAGUUCGACCUGUUCAUCGGAUUUUACACGUAACAUCGGAAUCAUUCUGAACCCCAAGAGAUAUUUUCCAGCGCCUUCUGGAGAGCGACUACAUCGACAUUGUCCUCGUCGCCACCAUCGCCAAAUACCUUAAUGCGCUGCGCUUACUGGCAGACGAAAUUGAGUAUGCGGAGGAAUAUUUGGUGUGGAUGCAUCCUGGAAACAAUACUCGGAGGCAAUCCUGCAAACAACCAGUAGGGCAAAAAGCGGAAUCGGAACUGGAAUACAAAAGCUAAUAAAGGUCGCUUGCUGUGCACACUAUCUCAUGGAAUUGAUUUAGUAGGCGCAACUCGGAUUAGCCAACAAUCGGAUACCGAGCAUGGGAAACCUGUAUGGGGUCCGUCACAGGUGGUG